rnacentral:rRNA from 1 species
UAGCCAUGCGAGUCGAGAGGGUUCGGCCCUCGGCGAACUGCUCAGUAACACGCUGGUAUAAUCUAACCUUAGGUGGAGCAUAACCUCGGGAAACUGAGAAUAAUACUCCAUAGAUCUUUGAGGCUGGAAUGCGCUUAGAUUGAAAGCUUCGGCGCCUAAGGAUGAGUCUGCGGACUAUCAGGUAGUAGUCAGGGUAAAGACCUGACUAGCCUACGACGGAUACGGGUUGUGAGAGCAAUAACCCGGAGAUGAUAUCUGAGACACGAUAUCAGGCCCUACGGGGCGCAGCAGGCGCGAAAACUUCACAAUGCGCGAAAGCGCGAUGAGGGGAUCCCAAGUGCUUGCACGUAAGUGUAAGCUGUUUUUCUGUCUAAAAAGCAGAGAGAGUAAGGGCUGGGUAAGACGGGUGCCAGCCGCCGCGGUAAUACCUGCAGCUCAAGUGGUGGCCGCUAUUAUUGGGCCUAAAACGUCCGUAGCCGGCUGAGUAAAUGCCUGGGUAAAUCGUGUGGCUUAACCAUACGAAUUCCGGGUAGACUGCUCAGCUUGGGACCGGAAGAAGUUAGAGGUACUCCUGGGGUAGGGGUGAAAUCCUGUAAUCCUGGGGGGACCACCAGUGGCGAAGGCGUCUAACUAGGACGGGUCUGACGGUGAGGGACGAAGCCCUGGGGCGCAAACCGGAUUAGAUACCCGGGUAGUCCAGGGUGUAAACGCUGCUUGCUUGAUGUUAGCUGGGCUCCGAGCUCGGCUAGUGUCGGAGAGAAGUUGUUAAGCAAGCUGCCUGGGAAGUACGGUCGCAAGACUGAAACUUAAAGGAAUUGGCGGGGGAGCA